UACGUAGGUCGCGAACGUUGUUCGGAAUUACUGGGCUUAAAGGGCGCGUAGGCGGUUUCGUAAGUCAAGGUUGAAAUCCGGCGGCUCACCCGUCGAAGUGGCCUCGAUACUGCGGAACUAGAAUCAUGGAGGGGUGCGCGGAACUUGUGGUGGAGCGGUGAAAUGCUCAGAUAUCACAGGGAACACCGGAGGCGAAGGCGGCGCACUGGCCCAUGUAUUGACGCUGAGGCGCGAAAGCCAGGGGAGCGAACGGG
rnacentral:rRNA from 1 species